UGUCCAGACUCCUACGGGAGGCAGCAGUGGGGAAUAUUGCACAAUGGGGGAAACCCUGAUGCAGCGACGCCGCGUGAGUGAAGAAGUAAUUCGUUAUGUAAAGCUCUAUCAGCAGGGAAGAAAAUGACGGUACCUGAGUAAGAAGCCCCGACUAACUACGUGCCAGCAGCCGCGGUAAUACGUAGGGGGCAAGCGUUAUCCGGAUUUACUGGGUGUAAAGGGAGCGUAGACGGAAAGGCAAGUCAGAAGUGAAAACCCAAGGCUCAACCAUGGGACUGCUUUUGAAACUGUCAAACUAGAGUACGGGAGAGGUAAGAGGAAUUCCUAGUGUAGCGGUGAAAUGCGUAGAUAUUAGGAGGAACACCAGUGGCGAAGGCGGCUUACUGGACCGAAACUGACGUUGAGGCUCGAAAGCGUGGGGAGCAAACAGGAUUAGAUACCCGAGUAAA
rnacentral:rRNA from 1 species